GUGAGUCAUCGAAUCUUUGAACGCACAUUGCGCCCGCCAGUAUUCUGGCGGGCAUGCCUGUUCGAGCGUCAUUUCAACCCUCAAGACCCCUUCGGGGGACUUGGUGUUGGGGACCGGCAUAGGGGCCUUGCGCCCCUCGCCGCCCCCGAAAUGAAUUGGCGGCCUCGUCGCGGCCUCCCCUGCGUAGUAGCACAACCUCGCAACGGGAACGUGACGGCGGCCACUGCCGUAAAACAACCCAAUUUUAUUAGAGUUGACCUCGAAUCAGGUAGGAAUACCCGCUGAACUUAAGCAUAUCAAUAAGCGGAGGA
rnacentral:misc_RNA from 1 species